GGAAAGGCGCGCGAUACAGGGUGACAGCCCCGUACACAAAAAUGCACAUGCUGUGAGCUCGAUGAGUAGGGCGGGACACGUGGUAUCCUGUCUGAAUAUGGGGGGACCAUCCUCCAAGGCUAAAUACUCCUGACUGACCGAUAGUGAACCAGUACCGUGAGGGAAAGGCGAAAAGAACCCCGGCGAGGGGAGUGAAAAAGAACCUGAAACCGUGUACGUACAAGCAGUGGGAGCACGCUUAGGCGUGUGACUGCGUACCUUUUGUAUAAUGGGUCAGCGACUUAUAUUCUGUAGCAAGGUUAACCGAAUAGGGGAGCCGAAGGGAAACCGAGUCUUAACUGGGCGUUAAGUUGCAGGGUAUAGACCCGAAACCCGGUGAUCUAGCCAUGGGCAGGUUGAAGGUUGGGUAACACUAACUGGAGGACCGAACCGACUAAUGUUGAAAAAUUAGCGGAUGACUUGUGGCUGGGGGUGAAAGGCCAAUCAAACCGGGAGAUAGCUGGUUCUCCCCGAAAGCUAUUUAGGUAGCGCCUCGUGAAUUCAUCUCCGGGGGUAGAGCACUGUUUCGGCAAGGGGGUCAUCCCGACUUACCAACCCGAUGCAAACUGCGAAUACCGGAGAAUGUUAUCACGGGAGACACACGGCGGGUGCUAACGUCCGUCGUGAAGAGGGAAACAACCCAGACCGCCAGCUAAGGUCCCAAAGUCAUGGUUAAGUGGGAAACGAUGUGGGAAGGCCCAGACAGCCAGGAUGUUGGCUUAGAAGCAGCCAUCAUUUAAAGAAAGCGUAAUAGCUCACUGGUCGAGUCGGCCUGCGCGGAAGAUGUAACGGGGCUAAACCAUGCACCGAAGCUGCGGCAGCGACACUAUGUGUUGUUGGGUAGGGGAGCGUUCUGUAAGCCUGUGAAGGUG
rnacentral:rRNA from 1 species